GUGCCAGCAGCCGCGGUAAUACGGAGGAUGCAAGCGUUAUCCGGAAUCAUUGGGCGUAAAGAGUCCGUAGGUGGCACUUCAAGUCUGCUUUCAAAGACCGAAGCUCAACUUCGGAAAGGGAGUGGAAACUGAAGAGCUAGAGUAUAGUAGGGGUAGAGGGAAUUCCUAGUGUAGCGGUGAAAUGCGUAGAGAUUAGGAAGAACACCAGUGGCGAAGGCGCUCUACUGGGCAUAUACUGACACUGAGGGACGAAAGCUAGGGGAGCGAAAGGGAUUAGAUACCCCUGUAGUCCUAGCGGUAAACGAUGGAUACUAGGCGUAGUGCUGUUAGAAGGACUGUGCCGAAGCUAACGCGUUAAGUAUCCCGCCUGGGGAGUACGCACGCAAGUGUGAAACUCAAAUGAAUUGACGGGG
rnacentral:rRNA from 1 species